ACCCCGGUAUUAUUACUGUUAUGGGUUUGAAUCGAGCUUAGCCUUGUUCAUUUUUUUACACAACACCCCCGUAAAAAAUACAACACGGCCCGCUCAAGCCUGCUAGUCCCAUGCGAGUCAAACUGACAAAAGCGCCCCAAAAAGCCCCAAAAAAGCCCUCGAUGCGCUUUUUCAGGGCAA
rnacentral:sRNA from 1 species